UCAUUCAGAAAAUGACCUCCAUGCAGAAAUAUUAUAUCAAAAGUCAUUCCAAUUGAGAGAGAUUUGAUGGUAGGAUUACUAUGGCAGGGAGGAUGUGGGUAUUCAUGCGUUUCUAUAUUAACCACAAGAUUAUAAUUCUAGUUCUCAAAUUGCAUGGAUACCUGCCAGGUGACAGAGGAUGGAAUUGACUGCUGGACUGAACCAACAACCCCACUGAUAUCCUACAAACAUUCAAGAGCCAGGGGCAGGACUCGUGGUAGCAUGAUCAGCUGCAUUACCUCCUAGAGCAUAACCCAAAUGGACCAGAUGCUGCUUGAAUGAUAUUGUGCUCGGUAUAUACUUCUGAUGCUUUGGUAUGCCCUUUUUCCCCUGUAUUCCCGGUCGGGGUCAAAAGCACUGCAUUUCAAGCAGCCUUUCCCAUCAUUGUGUGCCUCCACCUUUCCACCCUUCCUGCAGAGAGGCUACUGUACCGCACUGCAAUGCCUGUGCUCUUGAAGAGACGAUGGACCACCUUGCUGUAGCCAAUGCCAUUUAAUACUACCAUACCCAGGUGAGUUGUGGAUUGAGCAGGAUUUCCUCUAGAUUUCCUGAAUAUUCCUUGGAAUAUUAUAUCCAAGAGAAACUAAACUACUCCCAUGACGACAACUACCACUAACAUUAAAACUACUUCUACUAGCAGUAACAAUACUAAUAAUGUAAUAAAAACCUGGGAAAUCACAGAGUCCUUAAGUAGUUUUUUUUUGUAGAAAUACAAUGUACAUAAACAUUUACAGAAUUAUAUAUUUAUAUAAAAAAAGCAACUGACCACCUCAUUUUUUUCCAGUUUUUUUUUUAUUUUUAUUGAGUGAAAAUCUCAACCCUUGCAUCAGUCAUGCAGAAAAAAAAUCAAAUAAAUAAAACACAUAUAUUAAAUUUCUAACAGCACUAAAUUCAAGUGGAAAAAUAUUCAGUUAUUAAUAACAGGUGCCGAGGGUUUAGAUUCAAGUAUUGGAGCAACCUUUUAUUUUUUUUGAAACCAUAUAAAAAAAAAUGUCUAGAGUUGUCUCCAUGUACAGAGUGUUUGUGAAUCAAGCCUUCCCCCCCCCCCCACAGAAAAAAAAAAAUACACAUUAAAAUUCAAUAUGAGCUAGAGAUGGCUUAUAGUCCUAGUGUGCAAUAUAUAUAUUACAAAGGCUAGAAUUUUCUGUUUUCUUUUUGCUACAUUGUAAUUCUCUUCCUUUUUAUUUCACUCUACAGAGGACAGACGUUUGAAUCCAGUUUUUCCUUCUUUUUUUGUUGUCAGUUAAUUAAAACAUUAAAACGAUCUGUCAUUUCAGCAGCAGACUAUGCAGGAUUUGGAGGUCGUUUCCGUCUGUUUUUUUGUUUUAAUAUAAUUUUCAUGUUUAUUUUUUCAUUCUAGAUUAUAUACAGGAUGCCAGCUGGCAGACAGAUGGUGAUGCGUUUACCCGUUUUUAUUUAAAGAAACAUCACAAGGAAAAAGAGAAAAGAAACGGACAGCUGUGGGGUAGGGGGGAGAGCACUGGGCAGUCUGAAUGCUGCUGCACACAAACCUUGCUUGAUGUUAGUCCUUCUCUAAACAACCACAUGUUCAGAUGGGUUGGGCUGGUCUCCAUUGGAGCUGGCUUGGGGUGCAUUACUGGUAAAGUCUGUUGAGAUUUCUGUAGUGGCGAUUUCCACGUCACUACAAGGGAGUGUCUAAUACCGAAAUCAUAACAAAUAUUGUUGAUUCCAAAUCUGCACGUAGCAAAUGUUCUAUUUGGAUAAUCUGCCUUGUGGGUCAGGAGAAAAAAAACAAAGUUUGAAGUGCGACUCGUCCUUGGUGAAGUAAUAAACAAAAAUGAAAAUAAAGCGUUCUGAUAAAACCUGCUGGGUAAUUUGAAUAGGCAACAAUUGCUGCUUUUAAGAGUGACUGCUGGUAGGGGGGGUUCCUCGUCUUUCACCCCUACCAGUGGGAAUGCAGUGCAAGCUGCUACCAAUUCAAACUAGUUUUCUAUGACCUGAAUAGGGCAUUGCCUGUUUCUCACCCCUGCUGUCGCACUCAGUCAGGGACGUCACGGAUGCAGGAUACUCGGCAUCCAAGCUGCUCGGAAAAAACAAAUUCUUGCAACUGAAAAAAGCCUGGGACCAUAGCUCCUAAAAGCGGUUUAAUGCUGGGAUCACAUUCCCACCUGUAUGGCAGUCAUAUUAGACUUAAACAGCCAUGGUUUUAACACAGCACGGGUGCACUAUACAGUACUUCUGUCAACCUGUGUACCGUGACAUCCCAAGACUGACACACGCUUUGCUCAUUAUUAUUAUUAUUAUUAUUAUUAUUAUUUAUUUUUUAUAUACAUAUUUAUCUAAUUUACACACGUCAUAUCUAUCCAAGUGCAUAAUAUGCGUCCCAGCUCAACAUCAUUUUCCUUUACAUUUAAUUUUUAUUUAUUUAUUUUUUUUAAUACAUUUGGAAUCUGCCAAAUAAAGUUCUGUUCUGUCAUUUCAUAGAACUGAGAGCAAAUGUUUUAAAUACUAAUACAAAAAUAAGUGUUGUGAUAGGCAGGCCAAAUAAACAAACAAAAAAGAAAAUAAAAAGCACACAAUCAUAAACAAAACACAGUAUCAAAUUAACU